UACGGGGGGGGCAAGCGUUGUUCGGAUUUACUGGGCGUAAAGGGCGCGUAGGCGGCGUGACAAGUCACUUGUGAAAUCUCCGGGCUUAACCCGGAACGGUCAAGUGAUACUGUCGUGCUAGAGUACAGAAGGGGCAACUGGAAUUCUCGGUGUAGCGGUGAAAUGCGUAGAUAUCGAGAGGAACACCUGCGGCGAAGGCGGGUUGCUGGGCUGAUACUGACGCUGAGGCGCGAAAGCCAGGGGAGCGAACGGG
rnacentral:rRNA from 1 species